CACAUCUCCAUGGCUCUGGAAUACCUCCAGGGAUGGCGACUCCACUGCCUCCCUGGGGAAGAUAUGCAACGGGGCAGCCAAGUGAGGAAAUGCAACCAGGACAGUAAACCUGGCAUUUCCAGCACAACAAUACCAGGCCCGACUCAGUGAUGUCAGUUAAAUACUUAUCUGAGCUUCAAAGGAUUUAGUGGCAGAUUGGUGCCAGGAGGCUGCGGCUCUUAGGGUCACCUCAAACACAUCUUUGCUGUUGUGAGGUGCCAGCGCUGGGAGCUCAUGAAGCAGAACGUGCCCAGUCUCUGUGGGAGAUCUUGUGCUUUUGACUCAUUUCUGGUUCAAGUCUUCACCUGAAAGGAACAGUAAAACAAAAGAGAAGGACAUUGUGGUGUAAGGAAACUGUCAAAAGCUUUGUGUUCUUCCUCAGCCUGUGAAAAAUAACUGCUCAUAAAAAAGAAGACACUUGAAAAAGCUCAAAGACAGUGAUGCAUAAGAUGAAACAAUUCGGUGACAGACCUGUCUGAUUAUUUCUUCUAUUGUUCCUUAAAAAGUACCUUUGCACCACAGCAGCUCCAGCUUUGUGCUGCACAUGGGCAAACUCAACCACGCAUGCUUAAAUCCCAUGUUCUUAAAGGUCAUUCCAGUGAUGGGGUCACCACCCCUGGGGGUGCUCCAGAACCGUGCAGGGAAAUAAACUGGAAAAGCGGCUCGCUGCCAACAUCUGAGGAGUGAGCAAUUCUUCUGCGUCUCUUAAAUUCUGGAUUCCUGCUGAGUGCUCCAUAAAAUAAAAAAUAAAUAAAUAAAAAAAACAACCUCC
ensembl:lncRNA